rnacentral:rRNA from 1 species
GUAGGGGAGCGAGCGUUAUCCGGAAUUAUUGGGCGUAAAGAGUGCGUAGGGCGGUUUAUUAAGUCUGAUGUGAAAUCCCCCGGGCUCAACCGGGGAGGGUCAUUGGAAACUGGUAAACUUGAGUACAGUAGAGGCAAGUGGAAUUCCAUGUGUAGCGGUAAAAUGCGUAGAUAUAUGGAGGAACACCAGUGGCGAAGGCGGCUUGCUGGGCUGGAACUGACGCUGAGGCACGAAAGCGUGGGGAGCAAACAGGAUUAGAUACCCUGGUAGUCCACGCCGUAAACGAUGGGUACUAAGUGUUGGUAGAGAUAUCAGUGCUGUAGUUAACGCAUUAAGUACCCCGCCUGGGGAGUACGGUCGCAAAGACUGA